GACGAAGGAUGCAAGCGUUAUCCGGAUUCAUUGGGUUUAAAGGGUGCGUAGGCGGCCCGGUAAGUCAGUGGUGAAAUCUCCUUGCUUAACAAGGAAACUGCCAUUGAUACUGCUGGGCUUGAGUACAGAUGCUGUGGGCGGAAUAUGACAUGUAGUGGUGAAAUACAUAGAGAUGUCAUAGAACACCGAUUGCGAAGGCAGCUCACAAAAACUGUAAACUGACGCUGAGGCACGAAAGUGCGGGGAUCAAACAGG
rnacentral:rRNA from 1 species